CGGAGAGGGCGCCUGAGAGGGUGUUCCCGCACACUGGGACUGAGACACUGCCCAGACUCCUACGGGAGGCUGCAGUCGAGAAUCCUCGACAAUGGGCGCAAGCCUGAUCGGGCGACGCCGCGUGGAGGAUGAAGGCUUUCGAGUUGUAAACUCCUGUCACGGUGCAGGAAGGUUCCCAAGAUAACAUCAAGGGAAAUUGACCACACCGAGAGGAAGUCACGGCUAACUCUGUGCCAGCAGCCGCGGUAAGACAGAGGUGGCAAGCGUUGUUCGGAAUUACUGGGCAUAAAGGGCGCGUAGGUUGUCAGGUAGGUCAGUGGUGAAAGCCCCCGGCCCAAUCGGGGAAUUGCCUCUGAAACCAUCUGACUGGAGUGCAAAAGGGGAGAGUGGAACUCGAGGUGGAGCGGUGAUAUGCGUAGAUAUCUCGGGGAACGCCGGUGGCGAAAGCGACUCUCUGGUUUGCUACUGACACUGAGGCGCGAAAGCUAGGGGAGCAAACGGGAUUAGAUACCCCGGUAGUCCUAGCCGUAAACGAUGAGCACUAGGUAGAGGGGGUUUCAAGGCCUUCUCUGCUGGAGCUAAUGUGUUAAGUGCUCCGCCUGGGGAGUACGGUCGCAAGGCUGAGACUCAAAGGAAUUGACGGGUACUCGCACAAGCGGUGGAGUAUGUGGAUCAAUUCGAAGCAACGCGUAGAACCUUACCUGGGUUUGACAUAUGCGAAAGCGUCAGGAAGUAGGCACCUGAAAGGGUUGCCCAAUGGUUUCCAGUCCAGAACCUGAUACAGGUGUUUGCAUG
rnacentral:rRNA from 1 species